CAAGGGAGUUGGAGGAUGUCGAAUCCAGUGACGAAAUCAGAAGGACUGUGGAGGGAAUCCUGCAGGAAUUUGGCAUCCUGAGCAAGGACACUGUCUUUGUGACGGAUAAUAGCUCAAAUGUGAUGGCAGCAUUCAAGGAUUAUGUGCGAAUCUCCUGCGCCGACCAUAAUAUCAACUUGGUCUUAAAACACACAUUUGACCACUUGGAUGAGGACAACCCAGCACACAGCAGCAUCAUCAAGCUGUUUAAGGAGACCAAGACCCUUGUUACACACUUCCAAAGAGCAGGGUUACAAAAGGCGCUGGACCAACCGCUGAAGCAGGCUGUGGAGACGAGGUGGAACACC